rnacentral:rRNA from 1 species
UACGGGGGGAGCAAGCGUUGUUCGGAUUUACUGGGCGUAAAGGGCGCGUAGGUGGUUCUGUAUGUCUACCGUGAAAGCGUACGGCUCAACCGUAUUUUGUCGGUAGAAACUGCAGGACUUGAGGCUGGGAGGGGCUGGUGGAAUUCCCUGUGUAGCGGUGAAAUGCGUAGAGAUGGGGGAGAACACUCGUGGCGAAGGCGGCCAGCUAGACCAGUUCUGACACUGAGGCGCGACAGCGUGGGGGAGCAAACAGG